rnacentral:rRNA from 1 species
UACGGAGGGUGCUAGCGUUGUUCGGAAUCACUGGGCGUAAAGCGCGUGUAGGCGGCCCACUAAGUCUGAUGUGAAAGCCCGGGGCUCACCCCCGGAAGUGCAUUGGAAACUGGUGGACUCGAGUCCCGGAGAGGAGGGUGGAAUUCCUGGUGUAGCGGUGAAAUGCGUAGAUAUCAGGAGGAACACCAAUGGCGAAGGCAGCUCGCUGGGACGGUACUGACGCUGAGACGCGAAAGCGUGGGGAGCAAACAGG